rnacentral:rRNA from 1 species
UACGAAGGGUGCAAGCGUUACUCGGAAUUACUGGGCGUAAAGCGUGCGUAGGUGGUUUGUUAAGUCUGAUGUGAAAGCCCCGGGCUCAACCUGGGAACUGCAUUGGAAACUAACGGGCUCGAGUGUGGCAGAGGGGGGUGGAAUUCCACGUGUAGCAGUGAAAUGCGUAGAGAUGUGGAGGAACACCGAUGGCGAAGGCAGCCCCCUGGGCUAACACUGACGCUCAGGCACGAAAGCGUGGGGAGCAAACAGG